AGUCCACUGGGAGAGGUGUGUAAAUGCAUCCAAUCUCACCAAAAAUGUAAAAGGAAGGAUUUAGCAUUUGUUACAGAAGUUAAAAUGAUAUUAGAGAAAAGAAUCAUCCUAGAAUCACAGAAAGUCACACGUAACAAUAUCUUCUAGCUUAAUGAAACAUGAACACUCCCCAUGGCCGAGAGACGCUGACUGCUAAAGUGGAUCAAGAACUCUCCACCUCUUCAGAACAGUUGGACAUUGAGAAGAAUAUUGUGCUGGAGCAUAACACUGGCCGAUACGAGCAAUAGUGUUUACUGGCCAAGCAAGGUGUGCACCCCAGACCUGGAGGUCAUCUCUGCCUCUCGUGAGGACUCAGAAGUUGCGGAAACUUCAGUGGAGACCACACCCAUGCCCCCCCCCAACAGGAAGCAUCUGAGCCGCUCCAAAAAAUCAAGCGCUGACCCUCCUUAGCAGUUUUUUCAGCAUGCCUAGGCCUGAUUAUUUUGACAUUUUCAGAAAUAUGUUGGGAACAAAAUGCGGCGCAUGAGUGAAUCCCAACAGAAACAUUGUAAGCAUCUGAUACAUGAUACAUGAUACUAUGAUACAUGGGAUCUCUGAAGAUUUGGAUGAUUCCACUAUUGUAAUAAAAUCACAUACUAGACACCUUGCGCAGACAUCAAACAGCCACCUCUCCGCAACGGGUGUCCCUCUGCCACCCAGGGCUGCCACCAGAAAUUGUGCGGUCCGGGACUGACAAAAUAGGCAGCCAUCCCCCCAGUGCCAGAUACACUCCGACGCAUGCGCAGCGGGUACCCGUUCGAUUGGCUGCGAUAAAAAGCAGCGAGCGAACGGGUCAGAAUGACCCCCAUAGUACCAUAAGUUUGGUUUAUGACCUUCAUUGAAACCGUCUAGAGACGUUGUGACUCUUUAUAUUUUUUUGUGUUCUUGAAUGAAUAUGGGGGGUAAUUCUGAG